rnacentral:rRNA from 1 species
CCUACGGGGGGCAGCAGUGAGGAAUAUUGGUCAAUGGACGAGAGUCUGAACCAGCCAAGUAGCGUGAAGGAUGACUGCCCUAUGGGUUGUAAACUUCUUUUAUAUGGGAAUAAAAUGUUCCACGUGUGGGAUUUUGUAUGUACCAUAUGAAUAAGGAUCGGCUAACUCCGUGCCAGCAGCCGCGGUAAUACGGAGGAUCCGAGCGUUAUCCGGAUUUAUUGGGUUUAAAGGGUGCGUAGGUGGAUUGUUAAGUCAGUUGUGAAAGUUUGCGGCUCAACCGUAAAAUUGCAGUUGAAACUGGCAGUCUUGAGUACAGUAGAGGUGGGCGGAAUUCGUGGUGUAGCGGUGAAAUGCUUAGAUAUCGCGAAGAACUCCGAUUGCGAAGGCAGUUCACUGGACUGCAACUGACACUGAGGCUCGAAAGUGUGGGUAUCAAACAGGAUUAGAUACCCGUGUAGUC